rnacentral:rRNA from 1 species
GAUGAACGCUGACAGAAUGCUUAACACAUGCAAGUCGAUGGGGAAGUGGUGCUUGCCCCAUGGCAACCAUGGCGGACGGGCGAGUAACGCGUAAGGGACUUACCUGCAGGACUGGGAUAACAGGGGGAAACUCCUGACAAGACCGGAUAAUGUCAUGGAGCUGCAUGGCUUUAUGAUGAAAGGAGACGCCUGCGGAGAGCCUUGCGUCCUAUUAGCUAGUUGGUGAGGUAAUGGCUCACCAAGGCGAAGAUAGGUAGCCGGCCUGAGAGGGUGGACGGCCACAAGGGGACUGAGAUACGGCCCUUACUCCUACGGGAGGCAGCAGUGGGGAAUAUUGGACAAUGGGGGCAACCCUGAUCCAGCAAUUCUGUGUGCACGAAGAAGGUUUUCGGAUUGUAAAGUGCUUUCAGCAGGGAAGAAGUAAGUGACGGUACCUGCAGAAGAAGCGACGGCUAACUACGUG